rnacentral:lncRNA from 1 species
CGCAUUCUUCUUCUCGGUCGCCUCCUCGCCGCCGUGCCCAUCGACGCUCCUCUGUCCGGUCCCGUGUCGGUGACCGGAAGCCCUCUCUGUGGUCGUGGGAUUAAGUCGCUGUGGAGAAAUCACAAGGAGGCCAAUCCUUCCGGCUCUCAGCUUCGAUCGCGGCCACGUGUGGAUCUGCAUUGGCGCUAGGAAUAGCUUAUGUGUUAGAUCGACUCGGCAGGAUAUUUUCGGGAGCUCAGGAUCGGCAGGGUCGGUUGACGACAUUGCUUCACUACCCUAGCAGCGCGGGCAUGUGAAUGCAGGCAGUAGCAAGUGUAGCCUUUGCUCUGCCCAUGUCAUCUUCUUCAAGACCGAGUGCUAGGUACUGCAAGAAAAGCUUCUCUAGUUUGUGAUCUUACUUUGGUGGCACUAAUCUUCUUCGUUUUCCUUUCCAGGUGUGUAGUUGAUUGUUAUUUGCAACAGGUGUGUGAUUUGGGCACAAAGUGUCUUCAGUAGCAACCCCUACCAAUGCAAAUUCAAGGUGGGGAGUCAAGGAUUCUUGGUUGCUUUGUUUGUAGGUGAGGGAUACUAUGGGGCUUGCCUUUCAAGACCUCACAGCAAACUGGAAAAGGUGUUAGCCUCAUUUUUCUCUUUGUUUGCAUUUUGAGAAAUAGAGAAUGUGGAAAGUGUUUGGUGGGGGUAGUUGAUGGUAGUUUAAACUUGAUGGGAGUAUUUAUUUUUACAUCGAGUAUCAUUUGUUAAAUGAAGUGAUGAUUCUAGAUGUGUGCCCUCUUGCUCAUAUAACUGAUAUUUUGGAUUGUUUGGGGAAAAAUUGUUGGUUCAUCAAGUUAGAUUUUGCAUUUGGCCGAAGAAGAUAUUCCUAAGACUAUUUUUUGUAUAU